rnacentral:tRNA from 1 species
GGGCGAGUGGCGGAACUGGUAGACGCGCUAGACUCAAAAUCUUGUGACCUUCGGGUCGUGAGGGUUCAAGUCCCUCCUCGCCCACCA